rnacentral:tmRNA from 1 species
UAACUUUAAUUUAGGGCAGAAUCACCCUAUAUUGGAAGUGCUGGGCAACCAGCUAUGACGAUAAACGACUUGUGAAAUAAGCGAUGCGGACCCGGGGGCGGUACCCGGCGCCUCCACCAAUUUCUUUCUUUCGGGGUUUUCUCGAAUGUCUUUGGGGGCGAAAUAGGAUCGACGCGCGUGUAAAGACUGGUUUUUCGUCCGGCAUGGUACCGCCGUUAUCGGGCUAAUUUAUAAAUGCAAACGAUAAUGUUGCAUCUCAAGAUUUCGCACUAGCUGCGUAAUUGGAUAGGGUUUCGGGGGGUUCCUAGUAACAGAAUACCCCCCACU